rnacentral:tRNA from 1 species
CCUGAUAUCUCAGUUGGUAAAGAAUCUGCCUGCAAUGCUGGAGAUCCUGGUUUGAUUUCCAGGUCAGG